UCUUUCGGGGAUUUGAAGUUUCAAAACCUUAAUAUUAAUUUUUAACAAAUAAGCACGUAAUAGCAGUUAAAUGAGUAGGGAAAGAGAAUUUGGGCCCAAGUCUGGAUCUGUCCGCCUGGGCCAGUACUUGGGCCUAUUUCGUUUUAGGCCAAAGGCCCAUUUGAGUCAUCCGCACCUAUGCUGAACUAACAUCAAAAUAAGAUAUCAUUUGGGCCUUGGGCCCAAUUUUUCACC
rnacentral:lncRNA from 1 species